UUCCACUGCUGUGAUAAACACCAUGAACAAAAGCAACUGAGGAGGGAAGGACUUAUUUCAGCAUGUAGCUCUCAGAUCACACUCCUUCACUGAAGGAGGUCUGGGAAAACCCAAGGCAGGAAUCUGGAGCUGAUGCAGAGGCCAUGAAGGAACACUGCUCACUGGCUUGCUCCUGGGUUGUUCAGUCCACUCCUGUAUUCCUCCCAAGACCACCUUCCCAGAGUAUCACUGGCCAAAGGCAACGGGGCUCUGCCACAUCUGUCAACAGUGUAGAAAAUACAGCACAGGCUUGCCUAUCUGAUGGAGGCACUUCCUGAAGAUUUCCUCUUCACAGACAAACCUAGCCUAUGUCAAGCUGACAUAAAAAUGAGCCGGCAGCCAGCCCUUGAGGAACUUGGCUCCUUUUUUUUUUUUUAUUGAAAAGGAGAGGAAGAGUCUCAUUCUUUAAGAUUCCCAGAAAGUAGCCGGGCAUGGUGGCACACGCCUUUAAUCCCAGCACUUGGGAGGCAAAGGCAGGCGGAUUUCUGAGUUCGAGGCCAGCCUGGUCUACAAAGUGAGUUCCAGGACAGCCAGGGCUACAUAGGGAAACCCUAUCUCGAAAAAAAAUGGAAAAAUAAAAGAUUCCCAGAAAGUAAAAUGCUGUAGUACUCUGCUAGUGUUUACCAUAUAGCCAAGAAAACAAGUUAGGUUUCUGUUUCAUUUGCUACAUCACACACACACACACACACACACACACACACACACACACGCACGCACACACACACUUGUGGCUGGGAGACCACAGCCAGAUUCUGAAUGGCCCCUCUCUACAUAUACAUCUGGAUUUUUUGUGUCAAAAGGAGUAUGCAUGUUCAGACUUCCAAGCUCCUUGUCCUGUUGCCAUGGAAACAUUCAGGCUUCCAGAACUCUAGGCUCAGGGUCUGCCCCCUGUGGUGCAGGGGAGGAGAGGAGAGUUGACAGGCUCCCAAGAACCUGCUUAAAAUGGGGUUUCCAGGCCCUGACGUCAGAGGAAAGCCAGCAGCUCCCUCUAGCCGGUGCCAGCUCUACCGUGAUUAGCAGAGCUAAGUUCAGCCUUGCUCAGCCUACUGGAAAGCUAACAGGGAUUGGAGGGAGGAACUUGGGACUCUAA
rnacentral:lncRNA from 1 species